CCCCUGGAUUCUUCUUUUUCAGGCUGCUGAGCAUCUCUGAGCUGUUAGAUUAUCUCACCAUCCGGGACCUCAGUGUUCUCAUCUGCUAAAUGGAUAUAAUAAUUGUAUCAAUGUCACUGGAUUCUUGUCGAGGUUGGAUACAUGGAUCCAUGAAAAGUGCUCACAGCCGUGAGCCAGCGCUCAGUGAAUAUUGUUUGUUUAUUAGCAUCAUCACAGUUCAGUCACUAUGGGGAGAUCACUGACUUUGGAGUCUGGUAGCCUGCACAUCAAAUUCCCACUUUAUCACUUUAUUAGCUCUGUGGCCUCGGGCGAGCCCUUAACGCUCCCUGGGCCUCUCUCUCUUCAGUCAGUGUCUGUUUAUCUGGUACUUUCUAAAUGUUAGCUGCUAAGCACUUUUCAUGCAGUAUCUGUCAGCUCCCAACAACACCAGGAGAUAGAUUACAGAAUGAGGUUCAGAGAAGUUAAGUGACUUGUCUGAUGUCACACAGCCAGCAGGUGGUGGAACCAGGUUUAAGUCCAGGUCUUUCUUUCUGCUUCCAAAGUCUGUGCUCUUAACCUCCUUGCUAAGGCCCAGAAGUUGCAUUCCCUCCCUUCGAGGGCUCUUAGGAGGUCUGGACAAGACCUGCAAUGUCCAGCACCAUUUACAGGGGCUAGAAUGAAGUGGGUGUUCAAUCCCCCCCGCCAGACAUCCUGACCCAUCACACAUGCCUCGCCUUCCACGUGGCCCCUCGUGGCACCUGCAGCACAGCCCAGGCCUGCGCGCUCCAACCUUCUUGACCUCGUCCCUGCUGAGCUCUCUGCUGCGCUCCUCUCUGCGUUUCUAACCUUUGCCAGUCUUUCUUCACAGUCACAAAUCCUACCGUUUUUCAGGGAGACUCUUCUGGCCCUACCCUGUCUCAAACGAAACCUUCGCCGUUGUGCUUCUUCUGCGUCCUUAGGGGUGCGCCUGUGAACUAGACGUGGAGGUUUAUUGGACGUGUCAGUCCUUCCCGUGUUAGAUUUCAAACUCCAUGAGGCAGGUGUGGCAUUCUCCAUCAUGUGCCCAGCCCUGCAGGAGCGGGUCUGUGAUGCAGAAACAUGGGCAUUUAAUAGAGUCUUAAAUCUGUUCCUUUGGAGCCCACUUGCAUAUACCAUUGCCCAGAAGCGUCCCCCACCCGAUGUUCUCCCUGGUUAAGUAAGCUUCAGAAAGUCUUCUUAUACCCCCAAUCCUGAAGUCAUGUGCAGAGCGGUCUGCACAGGCUUGGAGAAAACCACCACUUGCAUUUUGAACCCAGUUAGCGCCGUUGCCCGUUGACACCCGCUUCCCGUCAGGACCCAUCACUGCUCAGACCUCUUCCCUCGGAAUGCUGGAAGACAUUCCGAGGAGAAGGCUGUCUCGUCCAGUGCUCGUGGAAGGGAUGUGUAACCCUGGGUGGGGAGAGCCAGAGAGAGAGGGAGGGAGGGGGAGAGAGUGCUUCCCCCAACUCAGCUUUCUGGGUGCAGACCUGCCCCCUGAGGAGCAAGCGGAGCAUCAGCAGCCAUCAGAAGUGGCCUCACCAACAGCGGGAGGACGGGAAGGACUACAUCCCCUCCAGGGACAGAGUUCAAACCACAGAAGGUCCCUGGGAGGGACCCAGGGAGGAGCUGGGGGCCGCGUGUCCGUGGGCUCACGGGACGCAGACAGAGGAGGGACGAUGCUGGAGACUGACGGCCGUGAUGCCCUGCAGGACGGGCUGGUCGUUCGUUCAGGAAGGGAGGACGGCACGGAGCCUCUGCUGCAGGUCAGGCUGCCCUGGAGUCAGGUGACUCACUCUGCGUGAUGACCCGAUGAGGUCGGCCUCGUGGCCUCCCAGGUAAACAGAAACAAACAAUCCUGACUCAAGUCUAAAAUGCACGUCGGCCCAUUUGACAGGUAAACUUGCUUUUUAAAUGGUGAGUCGAAACAAGCAAGUGGCAAGUCUCCCCGAUGUUUAAAAAUGAUCUUAUUUUUGAUUGAAGAACAGUGGAUGUGCCGUGUCAUGUUAGGUUCUGGUGGACCGCGCAGGGAUGCAGCGGCAUGGAUGCAUUGGUACUUUUUCAUAUUCUUCUCCGUUUCGGUUUGUUACAGAAUACUGGAUGUAUUUCCACGAAUGGAAUACAUUGAAUAUAGUGCCCUGUGCUGCGCGGUAAGACCUGGUUGUUUACCUGUUUUAAGUGUAGGAGUUCGUACCUGCCAACCCUGAACUCCUCAUUUAUCCCCCCACCCCCUUCCCCUUUGGUAACCCCGGGAAACUUUUUUUCUAUGUCUGUGAGCCUGUUUUUGUUUUGUAAAUAACUUCAUUUGUAUCAUUUUUUAAGAGUCCACAUAUAAGUGAUAUCAUGUGAUAUUUGUCUUUCUCUGUCUUAGUAUGAUAAUCUCUAGAUCCACCCAUGUUGCUGCAAAGGGCACUAUUUCACUCUUUUUUAUGUCUGAGUAAUAUUCCAGGGCAUAUACGGACCAUGUCUUCCUUAUGUAUUCAUCUCGUGAUGGACAUUUAGGUUGUUUCCAUGUCUUGGCUCUUGUAACUAGUGCUGCUGUGAACAUAGGAGUGCAGGUAUCUUUUUGAGUUAUCAUUUUCCCAGGGGGCAUGCCCAGAGGUGGGAUUGCUGGAUCAUAUGGUAACUCUCUUGUAGUUUUUUUUGUUUGUUUGUUUGAAGGCCACACCUGCAGCAUAUAGAAGUUCCUGGGUUAGGGGCUGAAUCAGAGCCUCAUCUGCCGGCCUGUGCCAUAGCCCCAGCAACACUGGAUCUGAGCUGCAUCCUUAACCUAAUGCAUGAGGUUAACGUGCAUCCUCAUGGUUACAAUGCUGGGUGCUUAACCCGCUGAGCCACUGCAGGAACUCCUACUUUAGUUUGGUAAGGAACCUCCACGCUGUUUUUCCUACGGCGGCUGGACCAGUUUACAUUCCCACUAACAGUGCAGCAGGGCUUCCUUUUCUCCACACCGUCUCCAGGAUUCCUUGUUAGUAGACUUUUUAAUGAUGGCCAUUUCGGUCCAAGCGUAAGGUGACAUGUCAUUGUGGUUUUGGUUUGCGUUUCUCUAAUGCUCAACGAUGCCGAGCAUCUUUUCAUGUGCCUCUUGGCCAUCCGCGUGUCUUCUUUAGAGAAGUGUCUGUUGAGGUCUUCUGCCCAUUUUUUGAUUCGUUGUUUAAUUUUGAUACUGAGAUGUAUGAGCUAUUUUGGAAAGGAAGCCCCUGUUGGUCACGUAGUUUGCAAAUAUUUUCUCCAUUUUUUGGUGGGUUGUCUUUUUGUUUGGGUCCUUGCUUUUGUUUUAAGUUUAGUGAAGGGAGCUUUUCAAGUUCAUUUUAGGUUUCACCCUUUAUUUGGUAUCUGCCAUAUCUUUUCAUUUCUGGGAAAACCUUGGGAGUUAAGACUACUAUCCCCUUGGAGUUCCCAUCGUGGCGCAGUGGUUAACGAAUCCGACUAAGAAGCAUGAGGUUGCGGGUUCGAUCCCUGCCCUUGCCCAGUGGGUUAAGGAUCCGGCGUUGCCGUGAGCUGUGGUGUAGGUCGCAGACAUGGCUCGGAUCCGGUGUUGCUGUGGCUGUGGUGUAGGCCGGCGGCUACAGCUCUGAUUCGACCCCUAGCCUGGGAACCUCCAUAUGCUGCGGAAGCAGCCCUAGAAAAG
rnacentral:lncRNA from 1 species